rnacentral:rRNA from 1 species
AUACGGAAGGUCCGGGCGUUAUCCGGAUUUAUUGGGUUUAAAGGGAGCGCAGGCGGAGAUGCAAGCGUGACGUCAAAUUUCGGGGCUCAACCCCGUCUCGCGUCGCGAACUGCGUCCCUUGGUUGCGGGAAGGGGAGGCGGAACUCGUGGUGUAGCGGUGAAAUGCAUAGAUAUCACGAAGAACUCCGAUCGCGGAGGCAGCCUUCCGGCCCGUCAACGACGCUCAUGCUCGAAGGUGCGGGUAUCAAACAGGAUUAGAUACCCUGGUAGUCCGCACAGUAAACGAUGGACACCCGCGGUUUGGCCUGUAUGGCUGAGCCGCCAAGCGAAAGCGUUAAGUGUCCCACCUGGGGAGUACGCCGGCAACGGUGAAACUCAAAUGAAUUGACGGGG